rnacentral:lncRNA from 1 species
CCGAUUCUAAAUAAUAUAAUACAUCAUUGAUCGAAUUUUAAAUAUUUGAAAUAAAAUUUGGAUGAUGACAAUAAUACAUUAUACACUUAAUGUAGCGGACCUUAAAUAAUAAUAUACAUCAUUGAACUAACUCUAAAUAAUUGAGAUAACAUAUGAAUGAUGACGAUGAUACACUACACAAUUGAUGUACAGUAGUUGAGAAUCUAACGCUCAUCCCAUCAGUUUGUGAUUAAUCUGGACCAUCUGCCAGGAGAGGGAUGGCGAAACUUGAAGGCUGGCCAUCGUGGCUGCGAUGUGUACUUUUCCGUGAACUGAAACAUACUUUAAUGCAAAAGUGAAUGGAAGAGAGGCUCCCACGAAAGCAUAAAAUGAAUGGAAAUGACCACGUACCAUCCAUCAGGUUAAGUGGAUGAGAUGACAUCACUUUCCAAUAGCAAACCCUAAAGUUUGCUUAAGAGGAGGAUAUCAUAUGUAUAUUAAACAAAUUUUUGCUCAUCAGUCCUCUCUCUCUCUCUCUUUCUCUUUCUCUCUCUUGUUUACUGGUGAUCCUUUGAAGGUCAAGCCGCUUCCUCUCUCUUACAGCCGAGUUGUGGUUUUUUGGAGUUAUCUUGUAGAGGCAGGGUUUCUAAUCGUCUUGUUUCUGGUGUUCCAAACCACGGAGAAGGCUGGGACUCGGCCACGAGAUCAGUGGCCCAGCCGAGUAAUAAAUAAAAAUAAAAAUUCCAAAAGAUAGGGGAAAUAUGUUUGAAGUAGAAUUCAAUAAAAUACAUUUAGAUGAGUUUAAAAAAUAGUGAAAAUAUGGAUUCUUAAAAAAAAUCAAUUUGUGAAGAAAAAUAAAAAAAAUGUAUUACAAAUAAAUUUCUUAGUUUUGAAUUAUUAUUUUUUUUUAUAACUUUUUGAAUUUUUUUAAAAAUCCCCAAGUUGGAUCACCCAACUCAAGGAUAUUCAGACUCACCAAGGUGGCUCGUCUGAGUUGGCUCGCCUGAGUUUUUCCAUGCUAGUUUUGAAACUCAGCUGAGUUGACUCAGACUCAGUUGCAUAAUUGUGCCUCGUUCUAAGAAAUGAAACCUUUUUUUAAUAUUAAUAAAUGAUGCAUAAAUAUGUUUCAAUGUAAUUUUUGUGUUUUUAACUUGUGAUUUUUUAUUUUUGAGUUUUUUUGGUAUUGUGUGCUCUAUCGUUUAUUUUUCCUUUUUUGGAUUUUCUAAAUUGUUUUAAUUUAUAAAUCAAUUUUAUCCACAUUCUGAUAUACUUUUUCCAAAUUUUAUGUAGACUUUUAAUGUAUUUUAUAACUACUUUAUUUUUUACUUAUUAUUUAUUUCGAACAAUUUUUAUAAAGGAUUGCAUACUAUGAGACUAUUUAUCUUUAGAAUUAACCUCCUAUCUUUUACAAUUUUGAGUAUGGUCUCAUACAUGACUUGGGCGAAAUUAUUUAGACUUUCAACCACCAAAAAUUGGAUUUUAAUGUCCCACCCCCUUCUGGGAUGUUAAAUUUUUUUUGGAGUACAGAAUUCCAAAAAUAUUUUCAAUGAGGUUACUUUACUGAAAAUCCCAAAAAUAUUGCGAUAACCACAUUGACUUGCCUCUCCCCCUCUCUCUCUCCACCCCUCUCUCUUGCCAACCAACAUCUCUAUCUCUCUCAUACUCAAAGAACUGCAAGACAAUAUUGAUUGACACACAUCAGAGAUACUGAUGAAGAAGAUCAGGCUCUAAUACUCAAAAGAGCUACAUGGCAAUGCUCAUUUUUUAUCAUCAGUUAAGCCCUACUCUUCCAAUUGAUUAAUCAUCUCAUCAAUUUCGAUACUCUUUUCUCGAAGUACAACAAAAAGACAAUAUGAGAGAAGCAAAAACAAUUAGCAUUUUAAAUGUUAUUCAAACGAAGUAGAGCUUAUAAAAAAAAUGUCACCCCAAUUGACAUGGAAACAAAAUGCAUACAUACCUCUCCUUGGAAAAUUCUGAAGGAGGAAUGUUACUUGUGCAGUAACAGUAGACUUAGGUCCUCAAGGCCUCCAGGAUAGCCCCCACUUGGUAGUGUCCUACUAUGAUCACUGAAUCUCAAUUGUAAAAAACAUUAAUCAUAAGAGCUGAAGAUUUGCACUAAAGAUAAAUUAUUGAAACUAAACAACAUAGAUUUAUUACUUUCUAUGUUGAAUCAUAAAAGAUUAACAUUAGUGAUGAACAAUAAUGUGUGUGUGAGAGAAAAAAAAGAAGAAGAAACAAGCAAAAAACAAAAAAAAAACAAAAACAAAAGGCAAAAAGAAAAGCUAUUGAGAAAACUAACAAUCAAACUAAUCAAACAUUUAACAAGUGAAGUGUUUGGGCGUUAAAUUUUUAGAAAAACCCAUUUCAAAAUGUGCUGAAAAAACAAAUCGUUAUAAAUGUAGAGCGACAUAAUGCACAAAGAAAUGCGAGUGCAGUGACUACGAGAUGUAAAAAUAAACUAUAGAUUUACAGAUUUACAAACCUGAAAACAAUUAAAUCGUUUUGGCUUGUUAUUCAUGAUUACCGAAAAACAAGAACAAAACAGUAGAUGUAAACAUACCUUCCAUGAUUCAACAAUAAAAGAAAACGACUUCUUAUUAUGAUCUUUGAAGGGUGUAGAUCGGCCUUCACCUCUUUUCUCCUCCAAGCUUGAUGGGAACUUCUUUAUGGAGAAUAAGCAAGAGUUGGGACCGUCACCUUAUAUCCCUUUUUU